rnacentral:rRNA from 1 species
GACGAACGCUGGCGGCGUGCCUAAUACAUGCAAGUCGAACACAGUGGGGACGGGUGAGUAACCCGUGGGUAACCUCCCAUCAGAGGGGAUAACACUUGGAAACAGGUGCUAAACCGAUACUGAUGGAUGGACCCGCGGUGCAUUAGCUAGGUGGUGAGGUAACGGCUCACCAAGGCCACGAUGCAUAGCCUACCUGAUAGGGUGAUAGGCCAAACUGGGACGGAGACACGGCCCAGACGCUUAAGGGAGGCAGCAGGAGGGAAUCUUCGACAAUGGAAGAAAGUCUGAGCGAGCAACGCGGCGUGGGUGAAGAAGGCUUGCGGAUCGUAAAACUCUUUUGUUAGAGAAGCGGUAGCUAACCAGAAAGCCACGGCUAACUACGUGCCAGCAGCCGCGGUAAUAC